GACGAACGCUGGCGGCGUGCUUAACACAUGCAAGUCGAACGGAAAGGCCUGCUUUCCCUUGUGGAUUGCGGGUCCUCGAGUGGCGAACGGGUGAGUAACACGUGAGCGAUCUGCCCCCAACUUGGGUAGAAGCCUGGGAGACUGGGUCUAAUUACCGAUAGGACCGCAGGGUUGUGCCGGUGGUGGAGAACGAGCUGCUAGUGGUUGGGGAUGAGCCCGCGGCCUAUCAGCUUGGUGGUGGGGUGAUGGCCCACCAAGGCGGCGACCGGUAGCCCGGCGGAGAGGGGCGACGGCGAAAUUGGGACUGGGACACGGCCCCGACUCCUACGGGCAGCAGCGGUGGGGCAUAUUGCGCAAUGGGCGGAAGCCUGAUGCAGCGACGCAGCGUGGGGGAUGUCGGCCUUCGGGUUGUAAGCUCCUUUCGACCGCGAGGAAGCCACCUGGUUGGGAGGGUGGUGACGGUAGUGGUAGAAGAAGCACCGGCUAACUACGUG
rnacentral:rRNA from 1 species